rnacentral:rRNA from 1 species
UCUGCUCAAUGUAUUAAAUUAUAAAUAGCUGCAUCAUAUGUACUAAGGUAGCGUAAUAAUUUGCCUUUUAAUUGAAGGAUUGUAUGAAGGAAUCCACAAGAAAUUACCUGUCUUUUUUUUAUAAAUAAAAAUUAAUUUACAAGUGAAAAAGCUUGUUUUAAAUAAAUAGACAAGAAGACCCUGUUGAGCUUUUUCUAUAAAAUAAUAUAUAGAUUUUGUUGGGGCAACAUAUAAACUUUAUUCAUUAUUUUAUUUUAAGAACAAAUUCUUUUUAAUUAACUUAUUUCAUAAAAAAUUAAUAAGUUACCACAGGGAUAACAGGCUAAUUCUUUUUUAGAGUUCAAAUUAACAAAAGAGUUUGGCACCUCGAUGUUGGCUUAAAGUAUCAAUUAAUUGCAGAAGAUUAAUUUGUUGGUUU